GACGAACGCUGGCGGCGCGCUUAACACAUGCAAGUCGAACGGAAAGGCCUGCUUUCCCUUGUGGAUUGCGGGUACUCGAGUGGCGAACGGGUGAGUAACACGUGAGUGAUCUGCCCCCAACUUGGGUAUAAGCCUGGGAAACUGGGUCUAAUUCCCGAUAGGACUGCAGGGUGGUGCCUGUGGUGGAAAACGAUUUUCUAGUGGUUGGGGAUGAGCUCGCGGCCUAUCAGCUUGUUGGUGGGGUAAUGGCCUACCAAGGCGGCGACGGGUAGCCGGCCUGAGAGGGUGGACGGCCACAUUGGGACGGAGAUACGGCCCAGACUCCUACGGGAGGCAGCAGUGGGGAAUAUGACACAAUGGGCGGAAGCCUGAUGCAGCGACGCCGCGUGGGGGAUGACGGCCUUCGGGUUGUAAACUCCUUUCGACCGCGAGGAAGCCACCUGGUUGGAAGGGUGGUGACGGUAGUGGUAGAAGAAGCACCGGCUAACUACGUG
rnacentral:rRNA from 1 species